CGUGUAGGCGGUUGGUCAAGUCUGGUGUGAAAGCCCGGGGCUUAGCCCCGGAAAUGCGCUGGAAACUAGCCAACUUGAGCGCGAUAGAGGAGGGUGGAAUUCCUGGUGUAGCGGUGAAAUGCGUAGAUAUCAGGAGGAACACCGGCGGCGAAGGCGGCCCUCUGGAUCGUUGCUGACGCUGAGACGCGAAAGCGUGGGGAGCAAACAGGAUUAGAUACCCUGGUAGUCCACGCUGUAAACUAUGGGUACUAGGUGUUCGGGGUGUUGACCCCCUGAGUGCCGACGCUAACGCAUUAAGUACCCCGCCUGGGGACUACGGCCGCAAGGCUAAA
rnacentral:rRNA from 1 species